rnacentral:rRNA from 1 species
AUUGAACGCUGGCGGCAGGCCUAACACAUGCAAGUCGAACGAGUGGCGGACGUGUGCGUAAUAUCUGUGAAACUGCCUGAUUGAUGUGUAUAACUACUUGACACGGUAGCUAAUACCGCCUACCAUCGGAUGUGCCCAGAUGGGAUUAUCUAGUAGGUGGGUAAAGGCUCACCUAGGCGACGAUCCCUAGCUGGUCUGAGAGGAUGACCAGCGAAACUGGAACUGAGACCCGGUCCAGACUCCUACGGGAGGCAGAAGUGGGGAAUAUUGCACAAUGGGCGCAAGCCGGAUACAGACAUGCCGCGUGGAUGAAGAAGGCCUGCGGGUUGGAAAGGACUGGCAGCGGGGAGGCGUUACCCGCAGAAGAAGCACCGGAUAACUCCGUGCCAGCAGCCGCGGUAAUUC